UACGGAGGGUGCAAGCAUUAAUCGGAUUUACUGGGCGUAAAGGGCGCGUAGGCGGGUGUGCAAGUCAAAUGUGAAAUUCCGGAGCUCAACUUCGGAGCGGCAUUUGAAACUGCAUGUCUAUAGAGGGAUGGCGGAGAAAAUGGAAUUCCACAAGUAGCGGUGAAAUGCGUAGAUAUGUGGAAGAACACCAGUGGCGAAAGCGGUUUUCUAGCUAUUACCUGACGCUGAGGCGCGAGAGCAUGGGGAGCAA
rnacentral:rRNA from 1 species